rnacentral:lncRNA from 1 species
AGUCUGAUGGGGGAGCCGUGCUGGGUAAAAACCUUAGAAUCGUCGCGCACUCCGUUUCUGCCGCGGAUUCUUAUAUUCUCCAAUACAGGCUUUUUCUGUUAUGCAGUAUUUGCAGAGCAGGCUGCUGCAGUUUGGCCAGGCGCAUUGCGGAUCAGUUGGUGUUCUUGCCAGAGGCCUAGCAGCAGCUUCCUAGCGCUACUACUUGCACCUCCCAAGGCAGCUGAGCCUCCCCACUUCUCUGGCCAGACACACUCCUACCGUGCAUCGUAGAACCACCUCUCUGACGCCAGCAGGACCUUAGUAAGAGUAAUGGGUAUGCGACAGAUGGCUGUAGUCAGGCCCUACUGAUUUCAAAAUAGCUAAAAGACUAUCUCUGUAGUUAGCUUUUGUGGCCUUGAUGGACCUGCAGCUGUGUAUUGCUCCCUCAGACGUACAAAUUCGUGGAGAUGAGUUAUGAAAGUAUUUAGUAUCCAAGUUUUUCAUCUGCUUAAUAUUUGGGAUUUUAAACACAAGUUUUGCCAGCUAGGGGUCAACAUCCCUGAAAGUGUUAGGGAUGGAGCUAGCUGACAGGCCUUUCUAAAAGAACAGAGAGCCUGGUGAAGAGAUGAAAAAUCAAUCUCACUUGAUACUCCUGUUAAAAACAACAACAAACCUUUAAAUAGCUCUCUACUAACACAUAACUCAAAUCCGAUCAAAUCUACCUGACCUUUACCAUUGUUUUCUGUAUUCAUCAACUAUUACUGAGUACUUCAAAGUCAGGCAAUAGGAGUUAAUAAAACAGAUGAAACUUGGUUUAGCCUCAUAAUAUGUGUUUAAAUUUCACACAUACCUCUGAUCUGCUCUCAUAACAUGGAGUUUUUAUUUGCAGCAGGGGAACUUUCAGUAAGGACACCGUUUGCCUUGGCAAUCCUCAAAAUACUUCAAGAACAGAUUGUUUCAGACCAUCUGUAGUCCAUUCUUUUCUCAUCAGGAUGUCAUUUGGUUUCUGUGUGAAAGUUUGGUGGAGAUUCCCAGUAGAUAUUAUGAUGGUGCAUGGUCAGAGUCCCAGGGAACCUGAAUGAACCAAGGUGCUCAAUGUGAAGUGAAAACAGCCUCAACAUGAGUGCCAUGAAAUAGCAAAGAGAGAGUGCAAGAGAGGGGCUGAUCGCUGUGGGGCAGUGCCACCUUGCAGGAACACAUGCCAUGAGGUUGGUGCUUAAAUACAUCAUGGAUCCAGGCACUGAAUGGGAGGCAGUAUGGGUGAUUUCCAGCUUGGUUGACCCCAUGACUGACAAACAGCAGGGACUUGAAUGGAAGAUGCUUCUUGUUUUGCCCAAGUUGUAUUCGGUCUACCAGAUUCUGCAACUUAUGUCUUCAGAUCCUUGGUGAGGAGAUAUGGAUGCUGUCAGAGAAGGCAAAUGCCUGCAGUGGAUCGAAGAGGUUUUCAAGGAGUUCCAUUUCCAGAAUGUGGCUUCAUCAGAGGACAAUGGAUCAUCAGCUAGUCCCACCACUUAGCUAUUCUGGAACUCAGGGUUCCUGUGCCACUCAUACCCCAACUUGGAGGGCUGACAUCAAAGAGUAAACUGAAGAAAUCAAGUAACCUCUCAUUUUUCAUCUGCACUAUGGAAGUGUAACAACUAGACGUGUAACCAGCAAAAGGGUUCGGCCAUUUGUUUAUAGAAAGGAGUCAAAAUAAUAAUGACAUGUGAAAGAAAGAGAGCAAGACUUUACUACUUGUGUUAGCAAGGGGAAGAAUGGGUGAAAUUUUAAAAAAUUUCCACUCUUCCCUUUGUGGAGGGAAGAUAGAGAUUUUUAAGGAGAGAGGGGUUUGGAAUGUAGGAGAGGAAGUGGGUAUGAGGUGGCACGGUUUGUUUUAAUGACUUAUUGUGAAUUGUUGUUUUAUUUGGUGAAGGCCCUGGUGUCAUUUUGGGCUUUAAUUAGGUUACAAAUUAAUUGCAGUCAAUUUUAUGGUCAAUUUUUGUUUUUUCUUGGAGAUGGGGUCUCACUCUGUCUCCCAGGCUGGAGUGCAGUGGUGUGAUCUUGGCUCAAUGCAGUCUUGACCUCCCAGGCUCAGGUGAUCCUCUCCUACCUCAGCCUCCCUAGUAGCUAGGACCACAGGCAUGCACCAUCCAGCACAGCUAACUUUUUGUAUUUUUUUUUGGUGGAGAUGGGGUUUCACCAUGUUGCCCAGACUAGUCUCAAAUUUCUGGGCUCAAGCAGUCCUCCCACCUCGGCCUCACGAAGUGCUGGGAUAACAGGUGUGAGCCUUUGCAUCUGGCCUGUAGUCAGUUUUUAGCUGGGAUUGAGUUUCAGCCUUGACUGGGGAGAGAAUUUUGGAGGUGUCUGGUUUGUGUUAGGAUUUGGCCUUUGACGUUUUAAUGGAAAUAUAUGACUAGAUAUGUCAGUGUGGCAUGUACUUAACAAGGAUGUAAGUAAAUAAAUAUGCAUAACGCAUGGGAGUAUAGUAUGGGAAAGAAGGGGAGUGGCGAUUUAUAGUACAUUUUGAGGCUGUAUUUUAAGGCAAAAGGAAGCAGAUAUAUAGUUUGUCUAAAGUUAUAUUUUGAGAUUGGGAGAAGGGAGGAAAGAAAACAUUUUGAGGUUGUAAAAUACAUUUGUAGUUUAUUUUCAAGUUAUAUUUUGAGGCUGGGGAGAAAGUUGGAAAGGAAAAAAAGUUUUAAAAUGCAGUUUGAAGUUAAGCUGUUUGGUUGUAAUUUUUAUUGUCAAAUUUUAUUUUAUUUGUAUGGAAAAUGGCUGCCAUAAUUGUUUUGGCUAUUUUUUUGUUGAGAAGGGGCAUAGUUUGGGGGUAUUAGAAUGGAAUUGAUUUAUUUGGAUUUGGAAAUAUUUAUGAGUAUUUGGGCCUAUAGACAAUAUUUAUUGGAGUGUUAUAGUUUGAGGUUUAGAAAGUUUUGGGGAAAGUCUGUCUUACAGUUUUACAUAGAGGGUAUAAUAGUAGUAAGUUUUAUAACACAGGGAUAUAUCUACCCCUGUAGGCCAGGCCAAUGUUAUAAGUAGUUUUUGUCUCUAACAUGGUCCUGACUUGAAUUAGAAUGUCCCCUAUUGAUUUAGUGACAAUGUAGGGUCGCACAUAGAUUUAAUUUUUUGGUGUAUAUUUUGUAGGGCUAUUUGAGGCAUUUUUGAAUUUUUUAAUUAUGUAGGGUUUUUAUUGUUAAUUGUAAUUGGAUGUGAUGACACGUUGGCUAAUAUAUAUAUUUAAUAGGCUGUAAAUAGGGAUAUGAAUAUUUAUGAAGGUGGCUUUAAGUCUUGUUUAGUUUAUGAGGGUGGAUUAGUUUAGUUAGUUGUUUUAUUUAGAAGGUAGUAUUGUACAUGGGCUAGGCCUUUUUAUGUGAUGAAGGCAGAAAAAAGUUUAUUAAGAGGCAUUUUUAUGGAAAUAGAAAAGCAAAUAUUAAUGUUGGAAACUAUUUGGAUGUUAAAGUACUUUUAGUUAUAGAGGAGGAAGGCAGUAGUAAUUUGACGUUUUCUUUGUCUGUGUUAUAAGGAAUAAGCUUUAGUUUGUAAAGCCUCAGGAAAGAGGUAGUAGUAAUUUUAUUGAGUUUAAGUUAGAAAAAUAAAAGAAAAAAAUUGAAAAUAUUAGUUUGGAAAUUUGUACUCUAGAAAGAAUUUAGGAUUUAGUUAAAAUUAUAGAAAAUAAUAAAAACUCAAAAACAGUGGAUAAGACUAGAAUUUAAUUACAGGUGUAUUAUAGUUAGGUUUUUUUGAAACUUUUUUUAGUUUUUGUUUUUAUUAAAGACAAAUUAUAAUAGGACAAAUUUAUAGGCAAAAUAAGUUUUAGUUUUAUUGUAUUUGGCUUGUGUAUUUGUGUAAAGUCAGUAAGAAUAAUUAUUUGUCAUAUAGGCUUUUUUAAAAAUUGGCUUUGUUGGAACUUUGUUAUAGGGAAUUUUAGAUUAGAUCUUUUGAAGUUUUGAGUCCAGUCAUGGGUUUAUUUGUGUCUUUAAAUAUUUGUAUUAAAUGGGCAAAUUUUUUCUUUUGAGGUCUCAAGAAAACUUGGGGCUGUGGUUCCUGUUAGAAAGUGACACUUUUUAUUUGUUAUAGGUUAAGAAUUUUGUAUAGACACUGUAUAGACAAGGUAUGAGGUUAGUUUUUUAAGGGGCUUUUAUUGGCUUUAUAGGUUAAUUUUGAUAUUUUAAAGUAGUUUGUAAGUAUGUUUUUUAAAUUAAAAUUUUGGUAAAAUAGUGUUUUUAAUUGUGUUAUAAAAGAAAAUAGAUUUUUAUUGAAUUUAUGUAAAUAAUAAUAUUGUUAUAAAUUAAGUAUAUGUAUAAAUAGUUUGUAAAUUUUGGAGAGAUUAGCUAGAGAAAAAUAUGUCUUAAAUUUUCUUUAUAGGAGUGUAUUUUAUCUGACUGUUGAAAGUUGUCAAUAGCUAAAAAGAAAAAGUUUUUUGGACUUUGUAAAACAGAAGAAUUAACAGUGUUUUAAAUAAAAAGUUAUAAAAAUAUUUUUUAAUAGUAUAGUUUAUGUAAUUAAUUUCUGUUUUGUUUGAUAUGUAUGAACACAGUAGGUUUUAUGGGAGUCUUGAAUUUUUUUUAUUUUACUGGCAUAAUUUUUAAAGUUAUUAGAUAUUUGUAUUUAAGAGUAUUUAUUAGAGUUUUAUAGUUGAUUAUAAAAUUGUUUUGAAAAUAAUUAAAACAAUUGUGGAUGACAAAAGUUUUAAAGUAAUCAUGGUUAAAGCUUGGUUACUUUUGUGGCACAUAAUAACUUCAUAUAAUUAUUAUCGAUAUAUAUUGAAACAGAAUUAUAGGAAUUUUAUAUAGUUUUGGAAUAUAUAUUGACAAUAUAUUUAUGUAAAUAUAGCUUAAAGAAGAAAGUCAAACACUAUUUUAUCCUUAACAAUCUUUUUGUAUAAUUUUAAUACAUUAAAUGUUAAAUUGAUUUUCUUGGACUUUAAGGGACUUAAUAUUUAAAGAGUCGAUUAGAUUACAAGAAGGCUUAAAGCCAGGUAUGAUGGCUUGCCCCUGCAAUCUCAGCACUUUCGGAGGCUGAGGUGGGAAGAUUGCUUGAGCCCAGGAAUUUAAGACCAGCCUGGGAAACAUGGGGAAACCGCGUCUCUAUAAAAAAAUAAAAAAAUUAGCCAAGUGUAGUUGUGCACGUCUGUAGUCCCAGCUACUGGGGAGGCUGAGGUGGGAGGAUCACUUAAGCCUGGUAGAUGGAGGUUGUAGUGAACCAUAAUUGUGCCACUGGACUCCAGCCUGGGCGACAGAGUGAGACACUGUCUCAAAAAAAAAAGAAAAGAAAAGAAAAGAAAAAAGGCUUAAUUUAGAAUUUGACUUUGAAAAGUUUGUCAAGUAUUCUAGGCUUAAAUACUUGAUAUUAUAAAAUAAAUAAAAUUUUAGGUUAUUGUCAGUUAUUUAGUACAAGUGAUAAAUAAAAAAUAAUUAAGACAAAAAUCUCUACUCAUUGAUAGAGGGAGACUGUUUUUUAAAUAGGAUCCAAUAAAAACAGCAUGAAGCCAGCAUGUCUCUUUUUUUCUUCUUUAUUUGUUGCUUAUUUAAAAGGCAAAUAAAAAUCUUUUAUUGUUUUUAAUAUUAUAUGAAAGUGUUGUUUAAAAGAGAAAGGUAAAUUUUACUUUUGUAUUUGUGUAUUAUUAAUGUUAAACCCAAUUUUUAAUAAAACUGUUUAAUUAUAAUGAUUGUAAGGUAAAAUUUUUAUAAAAUUUUUAUAACUAUAAUUUUUUGUUAAAAAGUAGAUUAAUUUUUUGAGAAAACCCUGUUAUUUAGACACACGGUCCCAUAUUUUGGCCCUGGAUUAGUAUAUUUUUAUUUUAAUGUUUAAC